GUGCUUCUUUCAGCAUCACAUAUACUUAACUUGGAAUGAUACAGUGAACAUUAUUGUGUCUCCUGCAUAAGGAUGACACAUACGUUCGUGACGAGUUCUAUAGCAGU